rnacentral:rRNA from 1 species
AUUGAACGCUGGCGGCAGGCCUAACACAUGCAAGUCGAACGAGUGGCGGACGGGUGAGCAAUGUAUGGGAAACUGCCUGAUGGAGGGGGAUAACCACUGGAAACGGUAGCUAAUACCGUAUACCCUCGGUAGUGCCCAGAGGGGAUUAGCAAGUGGGUGGGGUAACGGCUCACCUAGGCGACGACCCCUAGCUGGUCUGAGAGGAUGUCCAGCCACACUGGAACUGAGACACGGUCCAGACUCCUACGGGAGGCAGCAGUGGGGAAUAUUGCACAAUGGGCGCAAGCCUGAUGCAGCCAUGCCGCGUGUAUGAAGAAGGCCUUCGGGUUGUAAAGUACUGUCAGCGGGGAGGCGUUACCCGCAGAAGAAGCACCGGCUAACUCCGUGCCAGCAGCCGCGGUAAUUC